ACCUGCCCAUAUCCUCCCACUCUCCCUUCCACUCAUCCUGACUUGGGGCAGACCUCUGGGUGGUAUUCUUAAAUAGUUGUUUAGCAUUAUCAAAGAACAGAAACACACUGAGACAUAGCAAGAGGAACAUGCUGGUUGCCCAGUACUCAUGAGCUAUUGUAACUGGAUUGAAGGAGGAAAGGAAGGUGCUACUCCUUGUCUCCUCCAGGGGUUGGGUCUCGGGGGAGAAAAGAUGAAAAGUAUAAACAGUAGCUUCCAA